rnacentral:rRNA from 1 species
AUUGAACGCUGGCGGCAUGCUUUACACAUGCAAGUCGAACGGCAGCGGGGAGGAGCUUGCUUCUCUGCCGGCGAGUGGCGAACGGGUGAGUAAUACAUCGGAACGUGUCGAGAAGAGGGGGAUAACCACCCGAAAGGGUGGCUAAUACCGCAUAAAUUCUGAGGAAGAAAGCUGGGGACCUAGGAAUAGGCCUAGCGCUUUUUGAGCGGCCGAUGUCGGAUUAGCUAGUUGGUGAGGUAAAGGCUCACCAAGGCGAAGAUCUGUAGCGGGUCUGAGAGGAUGAUCCGCCACACUGGGACUGAGACACGGCCCAGACUCCUACGGGAGGCAGCAGUGGGGAAUUUUGGACAAUGGGGGCAAGCCUGAUCCAGCCAUGCCGCGUGUAUGAAGAAGGCCUUAGGGUUGUAAAGUACUUUUGUUAGGGAAGAAAAGUCAGCUGUGAAUAAUGGCUGAUACUGACGGUACCUAAAGAAUAAGCACCGGCUAACUACGUG